GAUGAACGCUAGCUACAGGCUUAACACAUGCAAGUCGAGGGGCAGCAGUUAGGUAGCAAUACUGAGAUGGCGACCGGCGCACGGGUGCGUAACGCGUAUCCAACCUUCCCGUUACUCUCGGAUAGCCUUCCGAAAGGGAGAUUAAUACGAGAUGGUGUUGAAAUUCCGCAUGUUAUUUCAACUAAAGAUUCAUCGGUAACGGAUGGGGAUGCGUGACAUUAGGUAGAUGGCGGGGUAACGGCCCACCAUGCCCACGAUGUCUAGGGGUUCUGAGAGGAAGGUCCCCCACACUGGAACUGAGACACGGUCCAGACUCCUACGGGAGGCAGCAGUGAGGAAUAUUGGGUCAAUGGUCGGAAGACUGAACCAGCCAAGUAGCGUGAAGGAUGAAGGUUCUAUGGAUUGUAAACUUCUUUUAUACGGGAAUAAAACCACCUACGUGUAGGUGCUUGUAUGUACCGUAUGAAUAAGCAUCGGCUAACUCCGUG
rnacentral:rRNA from 1 species